UGGUUUUACGUACCUGUGUGUAUGACAGAUUUCCCAGAAUGUGAUUUCCAGUAGACAAUUUUCUUGGUGGUUAUAAUAAUAUAAAAAGCAGGAAAAAUGAAGCGUUACAUUCAAUAAAUCGUGGUUCUUCAUUGGUUACAACAUGAAGUUUCUUGGUUUUUUCUUUGUACUGUUGCUAGCCCUGCUCCAAGUUGUUCUGGGGGAGCCCCUUCCUGAUCCUGCAGCGGCUCCCAAACGCUAUCAUAAAGGUGGCGGAGGAAAGUACUACAACAAGGGGCAUGACGACCACUACUACAACAAAGGUGGUGGAAAAUAUUACCAACAUGGCUAAAAAAAACGAAUAACCUUCCCUGGACCGUCUACAAACUUGGAGCAUUGUACAACAAAAAUUAUUUCUAAAAAAUGUUAUAUAAUCAAUUGUUCUAAACAAAAUAAUUGUUAAAGUCUAAAUUAAAAGUAGAUUGUUAUAUAAAAA